rnacentral:rRNA from 1 species
AGUGCAAGCGUUAUCCGGAUUCAUUGGGUGUAAAGGGUGCGUAGGCGGAUUUGCAAGUCAGGUGUGAAAACUAUCGGCUUAACCGGUAGCCUGCACUUGAAACUGUAAGUCUUGAGUGGUGAAGAGGUAAGCGGAAUUCCUAGUGUAGCGGUGAAAUGCGUAGAUAUUAGGAGGAACACCAGUGGCGAAGGCGGCUUACUGGGCACUAACUGACGCUGAGGCACGAAAGCAUGGGGAGC